GAUGAACGCUAGCUACAGGCUCAACACAUGCAAGUCGAGGGGAAACGAUAUUGGAAGCUUGCUUCCGAUAGGCGUCGACCGGCGCACGGGUGAGUAACGCGUAUCCAACCUGCCCACCACUUGGGGAUAACCUUGCGAAAGUAAGACUAAUACCCAAUGACGUCCAUAGAAGACAUCUGAAAUGGAUUAAAGAUUUAUCGGUGAUGGAUGGGGAUGCGUCUGAUUAGCUUGUUUGCGGGGUAACGGCCCACCAAGGCGACGAGCAGUAGGGGGGCUGAGAAGAAGGUCCCCCACAUUUGAACGUAUACACGGUCCAAACUCCUACGGGAGGCAGCAGUGAGGAAUAUUGGUCAAUGGGCGAGAGCCUGAACCAGCCAAGUAGCGUGCAGGAUAACGGCCCUAUGGGUUGUAAACUGCUUUUAUAAGGGAAUAAAGUGCGUCUCGUGAGGCUUUUUGCAUGUACCUUAUGAAUAAGGACCGGCUAAUUCCGUGCCAGCCGCCGCCGUAA
rnacentral:rRNA from 1 species